rnacentral:rRNA from 1 species
UACGGAGGAUCCGAGCGUUAUCCGGAUUUAUUGGGCUUAAAGGGUGCGCAGGCGGGAGAUUAAGUCGGCGGUGAAAUUUUGCAGCUCAACUGUAAAAGUGCCUUCGAAACUGGUUUCCUUGAGUGUAGAUGAAGUAGGCGGAAUUUGUGGUGUAGCGGUGAAAUGCAUAGAUAUCACGAGGAACUCCGAUUGCGCAGGCAGCUUACUAAACUACUACUGACGCUCAGGCACGAAGGCGUGGGGAUCAAACAGGAUUAGAUACCCU